AUGCUGGUGGUACCCAGUGUGGGAGGGGUGGGAGGAUGCUGGCGGUACCCGGUGCAGGAGGGGUGGGAGGAUGCUGGCGGUACCCGGUGCGGGAGGGGUGGAGGAUGCUGGCGGUACCCACAGGGGGAGCGGGGCUGGGAAUGGAAACAGCACAGGGCCGGGUGAUUUGCAUAGAGGUCAUGUUUUGCUAAUAUGUGUCUUGUAGAAGCAGACAGCAUGUAAAAGAGGAUGGUUAAAACCUGACCCAGCAAUGUUUUUAAAUUUCAAAUUAUGCAUAAAGUAUGCAUUAAAUUAAUUAGGGAAUUCAUUAAGAAGAGAAGAGUAAAGAAACUAGUUAGCAGUGUGCAACAUUUAGUAAUGUAAGCCAUCUUCUAUAAUUGUUAUAUAUAAUUUGUCUCAUAACAUUAUCCUUUGAUAAAUUAUUGCAGCAUAAUAUGAUAUAUGUAGCUUAUUAACAGUUUCAUUAAUUACUAUUAGAGGAAAGACACUCUGAAAUCUGGUACACAUAAGAACAAAUGUUGAAGCAGAUGGUUGAAAUUAGUGAAACGCAAUUGGUUGCUGAACCUUUUUACCUAAUUACAUUAUUACGUCAAAAUAGUUAAACUAAACUGUCAAGUUGUCGGCAAAGCGCUGGGAUGUUUGGGGGCCCCGGGCCCCACCUCCCCGCGGGCGCAGGGACCCUCUGGUGCUGCGCGGGCCCCAGUGCCCGGCACGGGGGGAUAAACCAAACCUGGUGCCGGGGCUGCCGGGGCUCGAAGGGACGCCUGGAGCCCUGAGCUCAGACAGAGCCUGCACUGCUGUCUGCUGGGAGCCAUGGCGUGUCGCUGGAAUCUGUAUAAAGAGGUUGUAUGUGUUGCUGUGAGAGCGCGGGGGAGUGAGGAGCCCCGUGGCAUCGGUGCACCCAACAGACUUUGUUCUGUAGGUCCCAGACACCAGAUGCGCUCGCACUGCACAUUUCUGCUGGUGCAAACAGAUUUACAGCAGCCUUUUGUUCAAGCUUUCCUUUCAUACAUGACUAAAUCAAAAGAAAUAUGAAGCAUAUAUGGUUCCUGUGUCCGCGCAGUCCAGCUGCCUUUCCCAGGGUAACGCCCUGAGGAGGUUGCACUGAGAAUGGAAACCUUGGCUUUGAAAGAAAAGCCUGGUCCAGGGGCUUCUGCCGGGUAAGGCCCAGCCUUCCCUCGUCCUGACCGGCAGAGCUGCCCAGAAGGGAAAGUCACCUUCUGCAGAGGGUUCUGAGACUUCAGCAGCUUUGAGCUCAAAUUAUUAUCAGAAGCAUCCAAAUUUGCAAGAAAAUUCCGGAAUAAUACAGCCACUUAGAAUAGCUUCAAAACAGGGUAUCUCAUACAACAGGAUAUAAAAUAAAUUACUUCCAGAACUAUUACAGGAGGAAAUUUAGAAGAGAAACAACAUUGCAAUGAGAAGGACACCAGCAUGUGAAUUCUGAUAGGACUUGUUUUCCUUUUUUCUCUAUGGAAUAGGGGGACGCCCAGCCCUGCCUGGGGGGUGGCUGUGGAGUGGGGAGCCCAGCCCUGCCUGGGGGGUGGCUGCAGAGUGGGGAGCCCAGCCCUGCCUGGGGGGUCUGUGGAGCGGGUCCCCCUGCCCUGCCGGCGGGGCAGACCCCAGCCGUGUGCUGCCGUGUGCCAUGGAUGGUGGUCCUGCCACAAAUGCAUUAGCAGGAGAGCUCAGCCUUUCAUUCUCAGCCUGAUUAAUGCAUGUGCGGACCCAGAUUUUUGUAAAUAUGUACUUCUGUAUGUGCUCAGCUCACAGGGCUCGAAGCCAGUUCAAAAUAAUUAUAUAAUAUUUGAUGUACUUGACAACUCACCUCAGCUAUACGUUAUUUUCUCUGUCUCCUGCCUGAAAGGCUAAAGCCUUUAAUAAAUACAUGGCAAGUGCUGGUUGUGCAGAACGAGUGCAGGUGUGCAGCCAUGUUCACCUGUGUUUGCCGUCACUGUGGACAUUAGCACCAAAGGCAACUUCCCUCUAAUAUUUGCAUGAGCGGGACUGGGCACACACGUGUUAGUGAACAGCAAACAGGAGGGUACCGGGACGUGGCUGACCUGUAUUGGCAGCAAGAAUUGAAACAAAUCUCUCUGUUUUGGGGGUGGCUGCAGGGACACCCGACAUGUCCGGGCACUCGUGAUGUGAUGGGCAGAGCCUCGUGGGGGUCUCCUGCUCCAGUGAGUGGGGACCUGGACCUUGGUGUGCAGAGACCCUGCUCCUGCCCUUCGGCUUCUCCCUGACAUCCCAGCGACGCUGGAUGAAACUUGCCAAAGCUGUGGGAAACACUGGAAAUAAAGUCUGGGGGCAGGCGGAGGGAAGGGCUGGUUGUUCCCCGAGUACACGCAGCCCGUUGCUGGGAGUCUGGUAACAUCGGCUUGUAGCGCUGCUUAUCUUUAUCAAUGUAAAAUCCAAGAUAAGAGCCUCCCUCCUGAGUCUCAGCUCACUCCUUCAGCUCUCUUUGAGGGACAAUGUUUUCCUGUUUGGGGACUAAAGCUGCUGGGUAAAUAUUUUAAAAUGAAUCACUUCUUGUCCUAGUUUCUGUACACAGGUUUUUAAGGCUGCGUGUUUGGUCCCAGCUCCCAUGUCACAGCACGGCACGAACAGCUCCCCGUUUGGGCGGCAAGCAGGUGGCUGCACAAAGCUGGUUUCCCCUGCUUUCUGCACAGCAGCGCUUUUCUAGUGCAAACUCAGCCGUUCUGAAGCCAGGAGCCGCAAUAGCUGAUUUCUGUGCACAACGUUCACCAGCUAACACCACCAGCUCUUAAUGCCCCGCGUCCUUACCCCGCGUUGCGUUCCCAAAUUGCACAUCCUGCCGAUGUGGAAAUGACGUUCAGUCUCCUGUCCGGGCUGCUGAGGAGUUCUGCUCUGCGUUCAAGUCUUCCCGAUGGCCGCGUCCAAGGAGCGAUCCCCGUCCCACAGCGGCUGCCGGUGCGGAGGAAGCUGCUGACCCUGAGGACAGAUUUGUUACAUGCCCGCAGCUCAAAGGCUGCUGCCGCCCUCCCACACCUCUGCCUUCUCCCCAGGCUUCCAGAAAUUCACACCCUGUGUCAGGAGCUGGGCAGAGAAGCCGGCUUGGGUGGAAUCAGGGGUUUCAGCCGGCUGGAACUGGGGCUUUUUCAGAAUACAUGUGUGUUUUAGCUCCGUUUUUAAAGGAAAACGAGAGUCAGGCUAGGAACACAUGGCUUAACGAUGUAUGUGGAGAUGGUCAUUUGCUCUGUUUUGCACCUCAAUAAAUUUGAAGGCACAGCUGAAAUUAAUUUAACAUGUCAAAUCUUCGUUUGAAAUGUAAUCUACUGUCAUGUGGAUGCUAUCAAAUCUGUUAAUAAUUAGAAGCUGGCACCUCCGCUUAAGUGCAGCUGCUAAUUCAAUGUCGUUGUGUUCAGCUUAUUUCACAGCAGAGCUGGAAAAAAGGGCACUGAGUUGUUGACAGCAGAUCUUUUGUAUCCAUUUAAACAGAUUUGUUUAUCUCUUCCUUAAUUAAAGUGAAUGUGAUUUAGGCAC